UACGGGAGGCAGCAGUAGGGAAUUUUCGGCAAUGGAGGAAACUCUGACCGAGCAACGCCGCGUGAGUGAAGACGGUCUUCGGAUUGUAAAGCUCUGUUGUAAGGGAAGAAACUGCGGAUUGAUAAUCCGCACUGACGGUACCUUACCAGAAAGCCACGGCUAACUACGUGCCAGCAGCCGCGGUAAU
rnacentral:rRNA from 1 species